UAGAGGCCUACCAUGGUGGUAACGGGUAACGGGGUGUUAGGGCACGACACCGGAGAGGGAGCCUGAGAAACGGCUACCACAUCCAAGGAUGGCAGCAGGCGCGCAAACUACCCAAUCCCGACACGGGGAGGUAGUGACAAUAAAUAACAAUACGGGGUUCUUUCGGAUCUCGUAAUUGGAAUGAGUACAAUUUAAAUCUCUUAACGAGGAACAAUUGGAGGGCAAGUCUGGUGCCAGCAGCCGCGGUAAUUCCAGCUCCAAUAGCGUAUAUUAAAGUUGUUGCAGUUAAAAAGCUCGUAGUUGAAUUUCGGGGUUAGUAGGUUGGUCAUGCCUCUGGUAUGUACUGGUCUCACUGAUUCCUCCUUCCUGAUGAACCGUAAUGCCAUUAAUUUGGUGUUGCGGGGAAUUUGGACUGUUACUUUGAAAAAAUUAGAGUGUUUAAAGCAAGCUAACGCUUGAAUGCAUUAGCAUGGAAUAAUGAAAUAGGACGUUCGAUCCUAUUUUGUUGGUUUCUAGGAUUGACGUAAUGAUUAAUAGGGAUAGUUGGGGGCAUUAGUAUUCAAUUGUCAGAGGUGAAAUUCUUGGAUUUAUUGAAGACUAACUACUGCGAAAGCAUUUGCCAAGGAUGUUUUCAUUAAUCAAGAACGAAAGUUAGGGGAUCGAAGACGAUCAGAUACCGUCGUAGUCUUAACCAUAAACUAUGCCGACUAGGGAUCGGAU
rnacentral:rRNA from 1 species